rnacentral:rRNA from 1 species
GACGGAGGAUGCAAGCGUUAUCCGGAAUGAUUGGGCGUAAAGCGUCCGCAGGUGGCUAUGCAAGUCUGCUGUUAAAGAGUGAGGCUCAACCUCAUAAGAGCAGUGGAAACUACGUGGCUAGAGUGCGUUCGGGGCAGAGGGAAUUCCUGGUGUAGCGGUGAAAUGCGUAGAGAUCAGGAAGAACACCGGUGGCGAAAGCGCUCUGCUAGGCCGCAACUGACACUGAGGGACGAAAGCUAGGGGAGCGAAUGGG